AGCGCGUGCCCGCCCGGCGCCCUCUAGGGUGGAAGGCUGCGGGCGUCCUACCAGUGCCAGGACUGCCAGAGCGGGAGGAGCGCGGCGCGGGCCAGCCGGGACUGCUGGACAGCGGGGUCCAGGCUAGAGGCGAGCGAGCGGUCAGUGACGGCUGUGGAGGAGGGAGGCGCUGGGCGUCAGCGCGGGACCCGAGCCUCUGGACCACUGAGCUGGGGGGCUGGCUGAGGUCCACCUCCUAACAAAUUAUUGGAAGGAAUAUGAGAAAAAAAUGCAGAGUCUCACUGUGUUGCUCAGGCAGGUCUCUAGACUCCUGGACUCAAGCCAUCCUCCUGCCUCUGCCUCUCAAAGUGCUGAGAUUACAGGUGUGAGCCACUGCGCUCAGGUUAAAGUGUGAUCAGUUUGAAAUUCAGCUAACCCAGCAGCUAUGGUCCCUCAUCCCCAAUGAGGAUGUGAGAAGGUUCAUGUCUCAUGUUAUCUGGACCUUGAAAAUGGAAUGUUCAGAAACACAUGUGCAAGGGACCUGUGCCAAGCUCAUGUCACGAACAGGCCUCCUGAUGAAGCUUCUCAGCGAGCAGCAGGAAGCAAAGGCAUCCAAGGCAGAAUGGUCUGUAGACCAAUGGAAAACUGAUGAGACUCCAUCUUAAAAAAAAAAGAAAAAAAAAAUGGCCAGCAGGAUGCAGUGGCUCAUACCUAUAAUCCCAGCACUUUGGGAGGCUGAGGCAGGUGGAUCACCUGAGGUCAGGAGUUCGAGCCCAGUCUGGCCAACAUGGUGAAACCUCAUCUCUACUAAAAAUACAAAAAUUAGCCAGGCAUGGUGGCUUGUGCCUAUAGUACCAGCUACUGGGGAGGCUGAGGCAGGAGAAUUGCUUGAACCUGGGAGGCACAGGUUGCAGUGAGCCGAGAUCACACCACUGCAUACUUCAGCCUGGGCGACAGAGCAAGACUCCAUCUCAAAAAAAAAAAAAAAAAAAAAAAAAAAGGCUGGGUGCCAUGGCUCACGCCUGUAAUCCCAGCAAUUUGGGAGGCCGAGGCGGGCAGAUCACCUGAGGUCAGGAGUUCGAGACUAGCCUGACCAACAUGGAGAAACCCCAUCUCUACUAAAAAUACAAAAUUAGCCAGGCAUGGUGAUGCAUACCUGUAAUCCCAGCUACUCGGGAGGCUGAAGCAGGAAAAUCGCUUGAAUCUGGGAGGUGGAGGUUGCAGUGAGCUGAAAUCACGCCAUUGCACUCCAGCCUGGGCAACAAAAGCAAAACUUUGCCUUAAAAAAAAAAAAAAGAAAUGGCCAAACUUUUUUCCAAAAUAGUUUCACUAUUUUUACAUUCUACCAGAAUUAGAUGAGAGUUUCCAUUGCUUUAUAUCAUUACUAACAUUUGGUAUUGUCCAACAUUUUGUUUUAGCCUUUUUUGUGAGUAUGACUGGUGUCUCAUUGUGGCAUUCAAAUUUAUUGAGAUAUAAUUUAUAUACAAUAAAUCCAUCUUUUUUAAAUCAAUGAGUUUUGACAGACGUACACAGUUGUGAAAGCACCACCAUCACUUCCAUCACCCCAAAAAGCUCCUUUGUGCCUCUUGCCCUUUCCCAACUACUUCCCCCUCGAAACCACUGCUUUCCUUUAUUGUCUUUUCUCGAAAUCCAUAUGGGAUUUACUCUUUUGCAUCUGGCUUUUUUUUUUCUUUUUUUUUUUUUUUUUUGGCUAGUUAUGAUUACUCAUUUUAUUUUAUUUUAUUUUUGUAGAGACAAGUGUCACUAUGUUGCCCAGGCUGGAGUCAAACUCCUGGUCUCAAGCGAUCCUCCUGGCUCGGCCUCCCACAGUGCUGGGAUUACAGGUGUGAGGCACUGCACCCAGCAAAUCUGGCUCUUUUCAUUUAGCAUAACGCUUUCAGAUUCAUUCAUGUUGUUUAUUUGCUCUUUGUUCCUUUUGAUUGCUGGGUGAUAAUGCAUUGUUUGAAUGUAUCACGAUUGUUUACGCUGUUAGUAGCUGUUAGGUAUUCCAGUGGUUCCUAUCGUUUGGCUAUUUUUAAUAAUGCUAUCAAAUGCUAUCAACAGUCACAUGAGGGUCUUUGUGUGGACAUAUGUUUUUAUUUCUCUUGGGUAAAUAUCUAGACAUGAGAUUGCUAAGUGGUAUGUUAAAUGUAUUUUAUUUUUGAUACAUAUCUAUAUUUAUUUUAAUUUUUUGAGAGGGAAUCUCACUCUGUCAUCCAGGCUGGAGUGCACUGCUGCGAUCUCGGCUCACUGCAACCUCCCUCUCCCGGGUUCAAGCGAUUCUUGUGCCUCAGCCUCCCGAGUAGCUGGGACUACAGGCGAGUGCCACCAUGUUGGGCUAAUUUUGUAUUUAUAGUGCAGACGGGGUUUCGCCAUGUUGGCCAGGCUGGUCUUGAACUCCUGACCUCAAAUGAUCCGUCCGCCUCAGACUCCCAAAGUGCUGGGAUUACAGGGGUGAGCCACCGCACCUGGCCUGAAUUGCUUAUACUUUUGAUGAACAUUUGUGUAUGUGUUUUUGUGUGAACAUAUGUUUUCAGUUCUCUUGGGUGUAUACUCAGGAGAAUUGCUGGGUCCUAUGGUAACUCUGUUGAACUUUUUUUUUUUCUUUUUUUUUUUGAGACGGAGUCUUGCUCUGUUGCCAGGCUGGAGUGGAGUGGCACAAUCUCAGCUCACUGCAACCUCCGCCUCCCGGGUUCAAGCAAUUCUCUGCCUAAGUCUCCCGAGUAGCUGGGACUAUAGGCGUGUGCCACCGCACCCAGCUAAAAUUUUUGUAUUUUUAGUAGAGAUGGGGUUUCACCAUGUUGGUCGGGAUGGUCUCGAUCUCUUGACCUCGCGAUCUGCCUGCCUCGGCCUCCCAAAGUGCUGGGAUUACAGGCGUGAGCCACCGCGCCCGGCCAACUCUGUUGAACUUUUUAGAGGAACUGCUAGACUGUUUUCCAUUUUCCAUGAUCACUAGCAGUGUAUGAGGGUUCUAGUUUCUCCCUAUUCUAGCCAAUACUUGGUAUUGUCCUUUGGACUACUGCCAUCUGAGUGGGUGUGAAGCAGUAUCUCAUUUUGGUUUGACCUGCAUUUCCCUAAUGACUAACGGUUUUGAGCAUCUUUUGGUGUGCUUAUUGGCCAUUUGUAUAUGUUCUUUGGAGAAAUAUCUACUAAAAUCCUUUGCCCAUUUAAAAAACUAUAUUACUCCUUUUUUAAUUGUUGAGAGUAAGUUUGUUUUUCUUUUUUUUUUUUUUUUUUUUUUUUUUUGAGGUGGAGUCUUGCUCUGUCCCCCAGGCUGGAGUGCAGUGGCGAGAUCUCUGCUCAUGCAAGCUCCACCUCCCGGGUUCACACCAUUUUCCUGCCUCAGCCUCCUGAGUAGCUGGGACUACAGGCGCCUGCCACCACGCCUGGCUAAUUUUUUGUAUUUUUAAUACAGACGGGUUUUCACCAUGUUAGCCAGGAUGGUCUCGAUCUCCUGACCUCGUGAUCCCAAAGUGCUGGGAUUACAGGCGUGAGCCACCGUGCCUGGCCUUUUUUUUUUUUUUUUUUUUGAUACUGAGUCAUGCUCUUGUCACCCAGGCUGGAGUACAAUGGCGCGAUAUUGGCUCACUGCAACCUUUGCCUCCCGGGUUUAAGCAAUUCUGCUGCCUCAGUUUCCUGAGUAGCUGGGAUUACAGGCACCUGCCACUGUGCCUGGCUAAUUUUUUUUUUUUUUUUAGUUGAGACAGGGGUUUCACCAUGUUAGCCAGGCUGGUCUCAAACUCCUGACCUCAGGUGAUCUGCCCGCCUCAGCUUCCCAAAAUGCUGGGAUUACAGGCAUGAGCCACUGUGCCCGGCCGAAAUUUUUAAGUAUAGUCUAGAUACAGAAAUAUGUGAUCUGCAAAUAUAUGCUCCCAUUCUGUAUAUCUUUUUACUUCUUUGGUCAUGUCCUCUGAUGCAUGAAAGUUUUGAGGUCUAAUUUGUUUUUUCUUUGGUUGCUUGUGCUUUUUAGGUGUUAUAUCUAAGAAACCAUUGCCUAUUCCAAGAUCAUGAAAAUUUAUAACUAUAUUUUCUUUUUUUUUCUUUCUUUCUUAGAUGGAGUUUCACUCUUGUCACCCAGGCUGGAGUGCAAUAGAGCGAUCAUGGCUCACUGCAACCUCUGCCCCCCGGGUUCAAGCGAUUCUCCUGCCUCAGCCUCUCAAGUAGCUGGGAUUACAAGUGCCCACCACCACGCCCAGCUAAUUUUUGUAUUUUUAGUAAAGAUGGGGUUUCACCACAUUGGCCAGGCUGGUCUCUAACUCCUGACCUCACGUGAUUCAUCCAUCUCAGCCUCCCAAAGUGCUGGGAUUACAGGCAUGAGCCACUGUGCCUGGCCUAUACUUAUAUUUUCUUCUGUGAUUUUAAUAUUUUAGUGUUUAUGUUUUGGUCUAUGAUCCAUUUUGAGUAAAUUUUUAUAUUUGGUAUAAGGUAGGGGUCCAACUUUAUUUAUUUUUGAGAUGGAGGCUUACUCUAUUGCCCAGGCAGGCAUGCAAUGGUGCGAUCCAGCUCACUGCAACCUCUGUGUCCCAGGCUCAAGUGAUUCUCCCACCUCAGCCAUCUGAGUAGCUCGGAUUACAGGCCCCAUCACUAUGGUAAUUUUUAAAUUUUUAGUAGAGACGGGGUUUCACCAUGUUGGCCAGGCUGGUCUCGAACUCAUGACCUCAAGUGAUCUGCCCGCCUCUGCCCUACAAAGUGCUGGGAUUACAGGCGUGAGCCACCGUGCCUGGCCUCCAGCUUUAUUCUUUUUUUUUUUUUUUUUUUGAGACAGAGUCUUGUUCUGUCACCCAGGCUGGAGUGCUGGAGUGCAGUGGCGCGAUCUCGGCUCACUGCAAGCUCCGCCUCCUGGGUUCACGCCAUUCUCCUGCCUCAGCCUCCCGAGUAGCUGGGACUACAGGCGCCUGCCACCACGCCUGGCUAAUUUUUUGUAUUUUUAGUAGAGAUGGGGUUUCUCCAUGUUAGCCAGGAUGGUCUCGAUCUCCUGACCUCGUGGUCUGCCUGCCUCGGCCUCCCAAAAGUGCUGGGAUUACAGGCGUGAGCGACCAUGCCCGGCCAACUUUAUUCUUUUAGAUGUGGAUGUCUAGUUGUUCCAGAAGUAUCUGUUAAAAAUGUUACUCUUUCUCCAUUGGAUUAUUUUGGCAACCUUAUAAACAAUCAAUUGACCAUAAAUGUAUGGAUUUAUUUCUGGAUUGUCAGAUCUAUUCCAGUGAUCUAAAUGUCUGUCCUUAUGCCAGUACCAUAGAGUCUUGAUUACUAUAGCUUCAUGGUAAGUUUUCAAAUCAAGAAGUGUGAGUGCUCCAAAUUUGUUUUUAUUUUUCAAGAUUAUUUUGGCUGUUCUGGCUUCUUUGGAUUUUCAUAUGUAUUUUAGGGUCAGCCUUUCAGCUGGGCAUGGUGGCUCACGCUUGUAAUCCCAGCACUUUGGGAGGAGUUCAAGAUUAGCAUGACAAAAUCCCAUCUCUACAAAACAAAAAACAAAACAAAAGAAACAUUAGCCAGGCUUGGUGGCAUGUGCCUGUGGUCCCAGCUACUCAGGAAGCUGAGUAGCUUCCCGAGGCAGGAAGAUCACUUGAGACCAGGAGGUGGAGGUUUCAGUGAGCUGAGAUCGUGCCACUGUACUCCAGCCUGGGUAAUGGAGACAGACCCUGUCUGAAAACAAAAAAAUUUUUUAAAUAGGCUUUUGUUUUUUAUUUUAUUUAAUUUUUGACACAGGGUCCACUCUGUAGCUCAGGCUGGAGUGCAGUCGUGUGAUCUCAGCUCCCUGCAUCCUCCGCCUUUUGGGUUCAAGCAGUCCUCCCGUCUCAGCCUCCCGAGUAGCUGGGACUUACAGGCGUGUGUCACCACACCCAGCUAAUUUUUGUAUUUUUAGUAGAGGUGACCAUAUUGGCCAGGCUGGUCUUGAACUGACUUCAGGUGAUCUUCCUGCCUCAGCCUCCCAAACCCAAAGUGCUGGGAUUACAGGUGUGAGCCACUGUGCUCAGCCUGUUAAUUUUUUUUUUUUUUUUUUUUUUGAGACGGAGUCUCACUCUGUCACCUAGGUUGGAAUGCAGUGGUGCCAUCUUGGCCUCACUGCAACCUCCACCUCCCAGGUCCAAGGGAUUCUCCUGCCUCAGCCUCCCAAGUAGCUGGGGUUACAGGCACGUGCCACCAUGCCUGGCUAAUCUUUUGUAUUUUUAGUAGAGAUGGGGUUUCACCGUGUUAGCCAGGACGAUCUCGAUCUCCUGACCUCAUGAUCUGCCUGCCUCGGCCUCCCAAAGUGCUGGAAUUACAGGCAUGAGCCACUGACCCUGGCCCAGGAGUAUUGCUUUAACAAUAUAAGGUUUUCUGAUUUAUAAACAAGAAUGUCUUUCCAUUUAUUUAGGUCCUUAAUUUCUUCCAACAGUCUUUUCUAGUUUUCAAUGUACAAGUUUUUUGCGCUUCUGUUACAUUUAUUCCUGGCCGGGCACGGUGGCUCCGCCUGUAAUCCCAACACUUUGGGAGGCCAAGGCAGGCGGAUCACCUGAGGUCAGGAGUUUGAAACCAGACUGAACAACAUGCAGAAACCCCAUCUCUACUAAAAAUGCAAAAUUAGCUGGGCGUGGUGGUGCAUGCCUGUAAUUCCAGCUACUUGGGAGGCUGAGGCAAGAGAAUUGCUUGAACCCGGGUGGCAGAGGUUGAGGUGAGCUGAGAUCACGCCAUUGCACUCCAGCGUGGGUAACGAGUGAAACGUCUCAAAAAAAAAAUUAUUCCUAACAUUUUAUUCUUCCUUUUUUUUUUUUUGAGACAGAGUCUCGCUCUGUCACCAGGCUGGAGUGCAGUGGCAAGAUCUCGGUUCAAGCCAUUCUCCUGCCUCAGCCUCUUGUGUAGCUGCGACUACAGGUGCAUACCACCAUGCCCAGCUAAUUUUUGUAUUUUUAGUAGAGACAGGGUUUCAUCAUGUUGGCCAGGAUGGUCUCGAUGUCUUGACCUCGUGAUCUGCCUGCCUUGGCCUCCCAAAGUGCUGGGAUUACAGGCAUGAGCCACUGUGCCCGGCCAAUUUUUUUCUUUUUGAUGCCAGCCUUUGUCCUCUGUCUUUAAGUAGGAUGACCUCAUCAUGAACAUAAUACUGUCUGGAGAUGUUUCCUUGGUUGUAAAAUGAGAAGCCUAGGGAGAUUAUUUUUAUGCUUCCUUAGUUGUCCCCUUCCCCUCCACUUUUCAGUGUUUAGUCUGUAUUUUGAGUCUGCUUGAGUGUCCCUAUGACACAUCUGCUGGUUAAUUUGCAGCCACCAGUGGGGCUUCUCUGCUGUAAAGGAGAUAAAGGACAUGGAAAGGAAUGGCUUUGGAGUCCAACAGGCCAUUGUCCUGGUAAGCCUUUUACUGGCUAUGUGAUCUUGAGGACCUUAUUUCACCUGAGCUUGUUUUUCAUUUGUUGAGUGGGGCUGUUAUUGAGGAGUCAGUAAGCGAAGUGAAUGACAGCACCUGGGGCACUGCUAGCACACUGGACCCAUUUCAUAGAUUGAUGUGCUGUAACAGCCCAGGAGGGUCUCACUCGGCCACCCUAGCAGAAAUGCAGUGCCACAAUCAUGGCUUAUAGCAGCCUCGACCUCCUGGGCUCAAGCAAUUCUCCCCCCUCAGCCUCCCAAGUACCUGAGACUACAGGUGUGUGCCACCAUGUUUUUUUUUUUUUUUUUUAAUUAUUUUUUGUAGAGAUGAGGGUCUCACUCUGUUACCCAGGCUGGUCUCCCCACUCCUGGCCUCAAGUAAUCCUUCCUCCCUCAGUCUCCCACAGUGCUGGGAUUACAGGUGGAAACCUGCACCUGGCCUCUUCCUAACUUUUCAUUGUGAACAUCCAAAAAACUACAAACGUUGAAAUCAUCUUAUUAUAUUGCUGACUCUGGAUUAAUCCGUAUCUUCUACCUCCAUAACACUAUUUCUGAUCUGGGAAAGGGCAGCUUUUCCCCCCGCCCUUCUUUUUUUUUUUUUUUUUUUUUUUGAGACGGAGUUUUGCUUGUCUCCCAGGCUGGAGUGCAAGGGCGUGAUCUCGGCUCACUGUAAUCUCCGCCUCCUGGGUUCAAGCUAUUCUCCUGCCUCAGCCUCCUGAGUAGCUGGGAUUACCAGUGCCCGCCACCACGCCCAGCUGUUUUUUUUAGUAGAGAUGGGGUUUCUCCAUGUUAGCCAAGCUGGUAUCGAACUCCUGAACUCAGGUCAUCUACCCGCCUCAGCCUCCCAAAGUGCUAGGAUUACAGGUGUGGGCCACCGUGCCCGGGGCCUAGUUUUGUAUUUUUAGCAGAGACGGGGUUUCACCAUGUUGGCCAGGCUCGUCUUGAUCCACCCAUCUUGGCUUCCCAAAGUGUUGCGAUUACAGGUGUUAGUCACCGUGCCCAGCCUCCUUCCUAUUUAAUGACUUCUGCCCCUACUUCCUGCUUUCAUCAUUGCAGUAAGAAUGCACUGGUCUAACACUUCAACCCGGCUGUCUUUAGCCAGAGGCAGAGCUUUGAAACCUGGGAAUUUACUGCUUGGAAAUGGGAUGGAAUUCUAAACAUUUCCCUUUUGAGGGUUUAUUCACAUGAAUCCUGGGCCCCUAGUCUUAGGGAGCUGGAAGGCCGUAUUUCUGGAACAGGUGUUCACUACUUCCGUUUAUCGGGUCUCAGCCAAGUAGACCUGGAGCUGCUCCCUAGCAGAAUGUGGUGCACUCUUCUGGGCGCCGCCUCCUCUCCUCCUCUUCCUAUCUCUCCUCCAACAUCCAGCUUCCAUGCUACCCUUUCCAGAAACAUUUCCAAUUCCCAUCAGCUAGGUUUUCUUUCAUGGAUUCCCUCUUGCAUUCCUUGCAUAGAUCACUUGGUGCUUUGUACUUUGUCAUGCUGUCUUCUAGACCUUAAGCUGGUUAGGUUGAGGGCAGGGCUGCAUGCUGUUCAUGUGUGCUCUGCCUGGCCUGGCACAGAUGUAGCUGCUCCAUGGAUAUCUGCGGGGUCACUGAGCUGAAGCAGGUGGAUGCUGGAUGCUUGAUACUAGAUACAUUUUCUGGGGCUGGCUCUGAUUAAUGCUGAGUGAGUUCACCUCACAUUAAGAUGCUGGUAAGGUGGCUCAUGCCUGUAAUCCCAGCAAUUUGGGAGGCCAAGGUGGAGGAUCACUUGAGUCCAGGAGUUCGAGACCAGACUGGGUAACAUAGCAAGACCCUGUCUCUAUAAAAAUUUUAAAAAGUCAGCCAGGCAUGAUGGUACACACCUUUGAGUCCCAGCUACUAGGGAGGCUGAGGUAAGAGGACUGCUUCAGCCCAUGAGUUUGAGGCUACAGUGAACUACAAUUGUGCCACUGCAUUCCAGCCUGGGUGACGAGACUGUCUUAAAAAAAAAAGAUGCUGGUUGUUUUCAGACUAAAAUAGUAGCAACAGGUCAACGUAUCUGAAAUCCUUUAGCAGUCAUAUAUGGUUAGUGUAAAUCUCUGUGAUAAAAGAAAGAUCUGGAAUUGAUACCAAAGCAGCUCAGUACUUUUUAGUGUACUAACACAUUUGUUUUAACAACUUGUUCACAGCUACUGCAAUGUUCAGAUGGAGGAUCAAUAAUCUCUCCAUUCUUUGAGCAUCUAGCAUAUUACUGGACUCAUGUGUAAUCUCUCUCAGCCUUCUAGGUUUUAUUUCCACACAUUUUCCUUCCCUUCAACCCGAUUCCAACUGACUUCUUUGUAUUCAGUUAGCAAACAGGAGUGUUCCCCUAGCUUCAUCUUCUCUGUUUUUAAAAGACGGAGUCUUUGGAGUGCAGUGGUGAGAUCCUGGCUAACUGCAACCUCCACCAGGAUCUGAUUCUCCUGCCUCAGCCUCCCAAGUAGCUGGGACGGCAGGUGCCCACCACCACGCCCUGCUGAUUUUUAGUAGAGAUGGGGGUUUCACCAUAUUGGCCAGGCUGGUCUUGAACUCCUGACCUCGUGAUCUGCCUGCCUUGGCCUCCCAAAAUGUUGGGAUUAUAGGCGUGAGCCACCAUGCCUGGCAAGUCUUGUUUUUUCCAAGAAGUUACUUGGGACUUAGGCAGAUAUGAUCCGUCUUCUUAGGUCCUCCUUCUCAUCCCUGUAAGAUGAAGGUGAUUGGAAGACCAUGAGGUCAUCCUUAAGGGGUCCUGUAUCAAGGUGUUAAGUAGGUUAUCACUUCCACCUUGACUGUUAGCUGGUACCUGCAGUACUUUUUCCCAGAACUUUGGAUAAAUUCACCAAGAUCUACUUGUGAAUACAUUAUACGUAGUAGAUUAAAGAGGCUAUAAGCUAAUGCUUUCACUUUUUCCUCUGAAUCCUAAGCAUUAGGCACUUAAAACGGGUGUACUCCAAGACAAAGAUGUGUUAUCAAGUGAAACAAAGUCAGGGUGUCUGUCUCACACAGUUUAUUUAACAAUAGGUAAUAAGAAAUCAAAUUUAACAGUCUAUACAGUGAUCCAAAG
rnacentral:lncRNA from 1 species